rnacentral:antisense_RNA from 1 species
CUUCACCGAGCCGAGCAGAACGGGCUGGUCGCGGUCCUGGCCGUAGGUCGCGAGGAUCGCCUGGGCCUC